GUCCUAGUUUACUAGGACAUAUACAAAAUAUGGGACAAUACAGAGUAGAUUAGCAUGGCCGCUGGCGCAAGGAUGACACGCGAAUUUGUGGACCAUUACUCAUUUUU
ensembl:snRNA U6 U6 spliceosomal RNA